CCUUUCAGUAAAUACUUUCAGCUGCAGAAUAUCAACCAGCUUAUCAUUAGACUAAACUCCGAAGAACAUUUCAGCAGUUAAGUUGCCAAGUAAACGGCACAUGUGACAUGUUGUUCGCUUUGACCGAUUACUCCCACAGAAGAAAAAAGAAGACAUUUUUCUCACACCAGUACAUUUCAUACGAGCACGAUUGUCACCAAGCCAUCUAACUCAACUGCGUCAGGCUUAUAUUUUCAAUUAGAACAAUGGACGAAACAAAUGCGAAUGCAUUAUAUCAGCUGGCCAGUGGAAGGAAGCAAGAGGCAACUGGGUGCCAUUGAGUUUUGGCCUCAUGCAGAAGGAUCUUUUUCGUGUGUCGCCGGCUCCGCCAUUUGCUGUGUAUAUAGUGCACCUAAUGUUACCUGAUGAAGCUGUUAACAAUACCUACAAAAGGAAGAAGCCGGCCGGCCAUGUAUUAACAGAAAUUGGCCUUCCUGCCCCACUGAAUGUGACCGUGAAUUGCAUAAUUUGCGUUGCAUGAUGUCACACCGAAUCAUUUUUCGGUGUUUACUUUGUUGGAUCCAGCGGAGAACAUAAUCCUCUACAAAAUCUUGGCUUCCUGCUGACAUAACCCAAAGCUUUCACUGUCCUUGAGAAGCCUGCAAAACAAGAUUUUAUAUUCAUGUUCUAUUGCUUACAAUCAGAUUUCUAGAGCUUUUUCUGAAUCAAAUUUCUGGAAGAUGAAAAUUUGAAACAAGACCAACCAUGGAAGCAUUCACAGGCAGUUACUUAGGAUAAUAUGUCGAUCCAUUUUCUGAUGCCAUAUCCCAUCAGAAAGGUUGGCAUUGGCAGGCACUUUGACUUAGCCUGAAAACUGUUGUUUACAGCUCCAACGGUCCCAACUAUACAAGGGAAAACAGAUAUGAUAAGAACAGCCUGAGCGAUUAACACAGUGUCUGACAUGCAGGUACAGGACAAAAAUAUCCAAUCAAUGGCCGUAUCAAAAAAAUAAAUUAAGUAAAAGCACAGAAUAUACUGACCAAAAACGUAUAAAAGCCAAGAACGUCCAAACCAAGAAGUUCUGACUGGAUCAAAACCCAGAAGGUGUUCCCAGAUAAGGCUCCAUAGAUAAAACAGGCAAGAAGUAACUGCAAGUAAACGGUUUAUUAAAUCAUUUCACAUUUUGAUCAGCAACUGAGCUCUUCAGAGGUUUCUUUUAAUUAAGCCUCCCACUACAACGCAUACAUGCAUUUUCUAUGUGCAUGUUGCUUGGACCUGGUAAGCAUUCUCAUAGGCAAUGUUUGAUAAGAAUUCCCUUGAAUCAAGUUAUAUAAGGUUGUCUUGUUUGAUUAGCUAUUUUCUUUGCCUGGUUGCCAGCCUCAAGGAGGGAGACGCCAUUUGGCAUCUACUCGAGCUUGUUCACUGCACAGUGCUCUUCGACAAGAACAAUCAGCAGAUUUUGCUAUCCUCCGGUGUGAAUUUGAUUUGCGUGGAGGGUGACACCGUGUGGUACGAUGGUGGAGAUGCAGUGGCUGCUACUUCUGUUCAUGCUCUUGGUGAGCCUACGGCUAAGCUUCAGUCAGACAAAUCCUCAAGAUGGUAAGUCUUUGAUCUUUCUGCUUUUCAAUAGGUUACAGGAAGAAAGGUGACAUCUUUUCCAGGAUUUGUCACUCAGACUGGCCAUUGACCUGAAAACAAGGUGAGUAGGAUUAGGUCUGCCAGAAGUACAGCAAGAGAAGAAUCUAUUUGUGGAGCAUGAAUGACUAGAUGCUACAGAAAAACAAAAUCCUUAAAGAUAGCCUUCUGCCAUCAAUACUAUGUUCUCCUUGGGUAGUUAUGCAACAAAUUGUGAUCAUUUGGUUAUUUCCAUCUAAUAACCUAGGAAGAUUUUUUUUAUGACCAAAUUCAUAGUGUCAUGUACAAAGAAUAGUUUCCCAUGAUGAAAAGGGGAGCUGCAACAGCUAUAUCUCAUGCACGCACGAUCAAUAAUUUUAGAGAGAUGACUCCUUCCUUUCCUGCAGGAGCGAAUCCAUGAAAAAGCCAUGUGAUGCACAGGACAGGCGGAACUUUUGAAUCCCAUUAAUUUUAGCUAAUGUUAGAAUGUAAACAUAGUAUUAUAUCCAUGAUUCAUACAGGACACCUGGUAAUUUUUGUUUUUAGAUUCGCCCCUGCUUUCCUGGACCAUACUUUCCUGUGAAAUUUUCCAUGAUGAUGAUAAACUAAUGGAUGAUAUUGACCUAAUAGGCCAAGAUGACUUGGAUCAACCACUGGAGUUGUUGACACAUUUUGCUUGACUAACAUUUGUUCCAUUUAUUCUACAGUUUCUGCACUCCAGGCAUUGAUGAAGAAUUGGCAGAAUGAACCGCAAAGCUGGAUGGGAUCGACUGAUCCCUGCACCUCCUGGGAUGGAAUUUCCUGUUCCAAUGGGAGGGUGACAGAAAUGUGAGUGAUCAACUUCGAUUCAUCAUAUUUGUACUUAUUUUUGAGACAAGAACUACACCGAAACCUGGUAUUUACAGGAGAUUAUCAGGCAUUAAUCUGCAAGGCACAUUAAGCAAUGCAAUAGACCAACUUUCUUCUUUGACAUAUCUGUAAGUCCCUGCUUACUGAGUUUUGAACAAACUACCACACUGCAAAAUGCUUUAUGCUCCUGAUGUAAAAUAAACUACAUCCAGGGAUCUGUCUAACAACCUAAAUCUUGGAGGUCCACUUCCUCCAAGCAUUGUGAAUCUGAAGCAGCUCACAACUCUGUAAGAACAGCAUGUCACUAUAAGAAAACAUUUCUUCCUUUUUGGUCUGUGGAGAGGACUAAGAAAAAUAGGGGAAAACACUGAUUUAUAUCUUGGUUUUGUCAGGAUUUUACUUGGAUGCAGUUUCACUGGUGAUAUUCCAGAGCAGAUCGGAGCAUUAAGGCAACUCACAUUCCUGUAAGAAACAACUCAAACGUGGGCAGAUAUAUUGAAUGGACAUCAAUCUCUUCACGAUAUGAUUUACUUUAGCCUAAGAAAUGCUCUCAUGCAGGGCCCUGAACUCAAAUAAGUUCACUGGUGGAAUCCCCCCAACACUUGGCCUUCUCUCUAAGCUUUUUUGGUUGGACUUGUCAGACAAUCAGCUGUCGGGGAAAAUACCGGUUUCAUCAGGUUCAAACCCAGGGCUGGAUCAGCUUGUUAAUGCAGAACAUUUGUAAGUUCUCAAAUGGUGUACCAGUUCUAGAACAAAAGAAUCAAGAUAUACUGCUGCUUAAAUGUAUGGUAUCCUCAUAUGACUCAUACAUUUCCAAUCAACAGCCAUUUCAGUGAGAACCAGUUGACAGGCCCAAUUGACGAAAAGCUUUUCAGUGAAAAAAUGAACCUUAUACACGUGUAAGCUGCACACUGUUUGUUUGUGCUUGGUAGUAUCAUCUUGCCAUCACCUCACUGCCUUCAGUAAUAAUUGUCAGGAUAUUUGACAACAAUAACUUUACUGGACCAAUCCCAGGAUCUCUCGGGAGAGUCUCAUCAAUUCAAAUUAUGUAAGUACCUCGUAAUAUGAUUUACCCUAUGUUUUGACCCCCUUUGAACAGUUUCAUGUUUUUUUUUUCCUGCCUAUUGCAACAGCCGACUAGAUCAUAACCAAUUCAGUGGUCCAGUUCCAGGAAGUAUAGCAAACCUAUCUCGUCUGAUGGAACUGUAAGUGAUUACCAUCAAGGAACAUCAACAAAUAUUUCUUAUUCCUGGAAACAACAUUGCAAAUAUUUGUUUUUGUUUUUGCAGGAGCUUAGCAAGCAACCAACUGAAUGGGACAGUGCCAGACCUCACCAGUGCAAAUGCUCUCACUUAUGUGUAAGGAAGAAAGUAUAUGAGCAUUUAAGGUUAAUGAUUCUUUGAGUUAUGGGAAAUUUUCUUCCUUUUUACAGGGACCUAAGCAACAAUAACUUCAUGAGCUCACCAGCACCGCGAUGGUUUUCAACAUUAACAUCCUUGACUACCUUGUGAGUUGUCUGAUGACGAAAAAACAGUGAGUAUCAAAUGGACUUAGUAAGAUACAUCACAAUUAAUGUUUCUAUUCCUGUUGACAACUUACAGAUUUAUGGAUAGUGAUCAUCUUACUGGAACAAUCCCCAGUGCCCUGUUCAGUUUCCCGCAAUUGCAGCAAAUGUAAUUUCCUCAUGGAUCAUGCUACAGCUCUCUGAUAGCAUCUCUAGCUAAAAGUUUAACUUCAGUGAACUUAUGCCUUCUGAUGUUAUAAAUUGGAAUGCAGAUCAUUAGCUAAGAAUUCAUUCAGUGGGGAACUUAAUAUGAGCAGUAACAUCAGUUCACUACUGCGGGUUGUUAAUUUGACAAACAAUCAGAUCUUCAAUGCUGAAGUUGACCCAAGCUACACCGGCAGCCUCAUGUAAGCAUCAUCCUGUACUGUAUAAGGGUGUACAAGUGAGUGCAUGCAUUCUCACCCAACGUAUUCUUUCCUUGUCCAGACUAUCAGGCAAUCUUAUAUGCUUCAACAAUAUCAGUUUCUGCACACUCAAGCAAAAGCAGCAAGUGCCAUACUCAACAAACCUAGGUCCAUGUGGUGCCAUUUCAUGCCCCACUGACCAGUCAGCAAAUCCGGUGGCUUCACAGAACUGUGCUUGCGCCAGCCCCUUCCAGGGUUUGAUGAUCUUCCGAGCACCAGCCUUCUCUGAUGUGACCAAUCCCAAGUCAUUCCAACCUUUGGAAUUUACUCUUGUUCAGAACCUUAGCCUAGCUCCAGGAUCAGUUGCCAUUUCCAAUGUUGAGUUCAGUCCAGGGGAGCCACUAACAUUCACAGUGAAGGUUUUUCCAGAGAGCGGAACAAGCUUCAAUCACUCAGAGGUUAUCAGAAUCAGUUCUUCUUUGGUCAACCAAACCUACAAAGCUCCAGCAUAUUUUGGACCAUAUAGCUUCAUAGCAAGCACAUAUUUUGCAAGUAUGGCGUUGCUUAGGUCUGCAAUUUCUUUAGUUUGCUUUAUUUUCAAACAUUACAUAACUCAUUCAUUUCAGGCCCCAGUGGUAAAAGGUCGUCAAUGGGCAAAGGUGCAAUAAUCGGAAUAGCGGUUGCUGGUUUUCUCCUUCUUGUUGGCCUUAUCCUAGUAGCAAUGUAUGCUCUAAGGCAGAAAAAAAUAGCUAAGGAGGCAGUAGAACGAACUACUAAUCCUUUUGGUAAUGUGUUAUUUCAUCAUUCAGUAUCCAUCCAAUAGGGAAGUGUUAAGCAUGAUUGCUAAUCUGUGCUAGUGAAUGCUCUGGUGCCACAGCAUCAUGGGGACAAGGUGGUAAAGAUAAUGGAGAUGUGCCACAGCUGAAGGGAGCAAGAUACUUUGCAUUUGAGGAACUGAAGAGGUGCACAAACAAUUUCUCAGAAACCCAAGAAAUAGGAUCAGGAGGAUAUGGGAAGGUAUAUUGGUGAAUGAAUUUCCAUGCUAGUAUAGUCACAAAAAGAAAUAAGGAUUUCCAAAAGCAAUUAAUCUAUUAUCUUUUCUGUUAAAAGGUGUACAAAGGAAUGCUCGCAAAUGGGCAAAUGGCUGCAAUAAAACGCGCACAGCAAGGAUCUAUGCAAGGUGCAGCUGAAUUUAAGAAUGAGAUAGAACUACUUUCCAGGGUUCAUCACAAGAACCUGGUGAGCUUAGUAGGUUUCUGCUAUGAACAAGGGGAGCAGAUGUUGGUUUAUGAGUACAUUCCUAAUGGGACCUUAAGGGAGAAUCUGAAGGGUAUACUUUUCAAACUUCAUCACCACUACUACCCCCAUUUAUAACCUAUUUACAUAAUUAAUACAUGCUACAACAAAAGGACAUGGGGGUUCAUCCACAUCUUAACUGCAGGUAAAGGAGGAAUGCACUUGGAUUGGAAGAAACGCCUUCAAAUUGCAGUUGGCUCUGCUAAAGGUCUAGCGUAUCUUCAUGAACUUGCUGAUCCACCAAUUAUCCAUAGAGAUAUCAAAUCAACCAAUAUCCUUCUGGAUGAAAGUCUAAAUGCAAAGGUUGCUGAUUUUGGUCUUUCAAAGCUGGUAUCUGACACAAAAAAGGGCCAUGUUUCUACCCAAGUGAAGGGCACACUGGUAUGUACUUCUGGAACUUCAAAAUGCAUAACUUUUAUUGACAAAAAAAUAUUUCUAGUUGAUUACUCUUCUGUGUUGAUAUCUAGGGUUAUUUGGAUCCUGAAUACUACAUGACUCAGCAGCUAUCUGAGAAGAGUGAUGUAUAUAGCUUUGGAGUUGUCAUGCUAGAACUGAUAACGUCCAGGCAGCCCAUAGAGAAAGGCACAUAUAUUGUCCGUGAGAUCAGGACAGCAAUAGAUCAGUAUGACCAAGAGUAUUACGGAUUGAAGAGCCUAAUUGAUCCAACAAUCCGGGAUUCAGCAAAAAUGGUUGGCUUUAGGAGAUUUGUGCAGUUGGCUAUGGAAUGUGUAGAGGAGUCUGCUGCUGACCGCCCGACAAUGAAUGAUGUGGUGAAGGAACUUGAGAUUAUAAUACAAAAUGAAGGGGCACAGUUGCUAAACUCAGCAUCUUUAUCGGCUCAGCAGUUUGGAUAUGCAAAGGGUAGAGAUCCAGAUCCUUAUGGAGAUCAUGUGCCUAUCAAUGAUGACAGCAGCAGCAGUGCUUUUGAUUACAACAGUGUAUAUUCAUACUCAGUUGUUGAACCAAAGUAGAUAUGAUGUAUUGGUUUUGCUUAUCUCCUACUCAUUGUAAAGGACAAUAUGUAGUCUACAAUAUCAUAUUUUUUGUGUUGAUAAAAACCAAGGUCUGGAUAUUUUAUAAGCAUACACUGGCCAGAUGAAACAGCAGAGGAUGAUCUUUCUAUAGAAUCAUUCUUGUCAUUCUCUUCAUUGAAAACCCAAAAUAAAUAUAUUUUUUGACCAUUCGCAUGCAUGUCAAGAUAAAUAUUGUUUUUGUAAUUUGAUAUGUUUCCACUGAUGUUUAACUCAAGUAGUUACCAGGUGCACCUCAUUAAUUUUUCUCUAAACAAUCCUACAUCAACAUGAUGCCCUUUCAUAGCAUAAAAGUUAAAUAUUAAUGACAACAGUUGGAACAAUAACAGCCUCUGAUUGGCCAAUGGGAUUAAUGAAUAGCUGUGAAAAUGCUCUCAUUGUGGAUACAAGAUAGGAUUAGUGAGAGAAACAUUUAUUUAGAAUUUAUUUUAAUUGGUGGUGUCAUGGUUCAGAAGAUGCUGCCUUGUACAUAGGAAACAUCAUUUUUUAGAUUGAAUUACCAAUUGAAAAGAUGAUUCAGUUCCAUUACUAUUUAUCCAUCACAACGCGUGCUAACUGCUCAGUGUGCCUUUUCUGGGAGAAAAAAAGUACAGGUUGAAUUCUAAUCCCCACUGAAAAUGUCUAUUGUGCUAAAUUAAGGCAACCUUACACCCAAUCAAGGAAAUGAGAUAAUUCAAAGCUGCAUUCUCAAAGUUAAUGAUACAGGAACUUUACCUCUUAACGGUUAAAACAAGGAAGUACCUUUCAUUGACAUCGAGAUUCCAGUCCACACUAACAUAUGCUGUGACAAAAGGAAUAUGAUUUUAUUGACUACUUAACAAGAAAUAUAUAUUCCAAUAUAAGGUAACAAGCAUCAUUUUCAUCACUAUAAACAUGUGCAGACGAACAUAUUUCAACACACACACACACACAUAUAAAAGAAAAAACGAAGAACCAUCUGUCCCAAGCACAUAUGAAAAUUUUAUUUCAUAUCAGGUCACCAAAGAUUAAAGCAGAGUUAAGACAUGAGAAGGUUCUCACAUAACUACAUUUCGGAACAGCCUGCAUAGGAAGGUUUAAGAAAUAACAUCUGUGUGAGAGUCAGUUAUCCUUAUACAACUUGGUUGUCUUGCCUUUCCAUUGCCCUUCACUUUUCCUCCAGCUCUGAAACCAAAGCUGCAGCUGGUUCUCAUGAGGUAUAUGCAAGCAUGGAUCGGUUGACCUAUUCUUACUUCCUGAACAUAUCGUUAUGUACUUUUUUGCACAUUUCUUUCUUAACUAUCCGCAUUCUGUAUUCUGCAGCAAGUAAAUUUAUCUGGAAUGGAAAGGGAUGCUCAGGAUUGCUCUUGGCGUAGCCAGAGGACUAGAAUAAUUCAUGAACUUACCAAUCUGCCUAUUAUCCAUAGAGACGCCAAGUCAACAAAUAUCCUUUUGGAUGACAACCUUAAAGCAAAGGUUGCUGAUUUUGGUCUGUCGAAGCUAGUUGCAGACACCAAAAAGGGUCAUUUGGAACCUUUUUUUUUUGUGAACGAACCAGCACAGUUUGCGCCAAUUUCAUUGAAUAUAGGAGGAGUAAAAGUUACAUGUACUGAUGUACAGAAAAGAAAGAACUGUACAAAAGGGGAAAGGCCUAAGGAAUUAAAAGUGCUAGGUGUUUCACUCCCGCUGAGGCCCUAGUUUUGGCUUCCUCCUUUUGGAACCUGAGACAUGACACAGCAGUUCUCACAGAAGAGUGAGCUGUACAGCUUUGGGUCUGUCAUGCUUGAGCUACUAAGCAGAAGGCUUCCCCUAGCGAAGGGCAGAUUUAUUGAUCGGGAAUUCAGGAUGGCAAUAGAUGCAAGCAACUACGACUACUAUGGCCUGCAAUGCAUCAUCGACCUAGCUAUUGACGACGCAACCAUCUGCUACAGAGUUUGAGCAUGCAGGGGCAACUACCGUGCACCCGUAUUUUGGUUUGGUGGUUGCAACCAGCACAAGCAGCAGUAAUACCAACAUGGUGGAAGACCCUUCCAACCCUGAAAUUAAGUAAUGAAAAAGCACUAAAAACUUCAGAAGGAAUCGCUCGAUUUCUCUCUAAGGCACGACGUUUUUUACGCACUAGUUUCCUUGAUCCUUGCUCCUAUUGCACACAUUGUUUCUCAAGGAAUCAAGGAUUACAAUUCCCAAAAUUCCCCAGUUCUCUAAAAUCAUAGGUCACCUUCCGAGUUCCGAAUAACCAACAGCGACCAGGAAUUCAUCCCGUGAAGGAAAAAAGAAAAACAAAUCAUUCACGAACACAUCGACCUCCAAACAACAUCACAGAAAUUCAUACUCCUAUAUUACUGAGUUUGAGCCCGACGCAGUUCGAAGACUUAGGGCAUGGAUUACACUAGCGAGAUUGCGAGAACAGGGAGAAAUGCAGCGCACCUGUGCGCCGCUCGCCGCUCGCGGAUUUCAGCGCGGGCUCGGCCGGCGGUGGCGCGGAGCGCCGUGCACUUCCGCCGCGGAUUCGGCUCUACUCCUCUCCACUCCACUCCCCCACCUCCCGUCUCUGCCUCUCCCCUCGCGCCGUCAGCUACUUCCCUGCGAGGGCUAGUGUG
rnacentral:lncRNA from 1 species